rnacentral:rRNA from 1 species
GACAGCAGCCGCCGCGGUAAUACGUAGGUGGCAAGCGUUGUCCGGAAUUAUUGGGCGUAAAGCGCGCGCAGGUGGUUUAAUAAGUCUGAUGUGAAAGCCCACGGCUCAACCGUGGAGGGUCAUUGGAAACUGUUAAACUUGAGUGCAGGAGAGAAAAGUGGAAUUCCUAGUGUAGCGGUGAAAUGCGUAGAGAUUAGGAGGAACACCAGUGGCGAAGGCGGCUUUUUGGCCUGCAACUGACACUGAGGCGCGAAAGCGUGGGGAGCAAACAGGAUUAGAUACCCGUGUAGUCCCUGUCUCUUAUAA